UUCCUUUCCAUCUGUUCACCCUCUAUUCACAGACUAUUAGAGAAGAGUUAGUCUGGUCAUGACUAUUUAAUUGGAUAUACACAGAUUGUGAUGUAUUCCAAUGAGGAGGAAGGGGAUAAUUAACUAACACAGAGUGUGAAUCUAACUAGAUAGAUAGUUUUUAUUUCUGAGAAUAGAACUGACACAAAGAACAUUGUUGACACUAGAGGUGUUCCUAGG